AGAGAAGAAUAAUUGCAACUUAGUAUAUUCGCAGGCAAUAUAACAUAAUUGAUAUUGCUUUAUGUAAAUGUAGUUGAUAAUCAAACUUUCUAAAACCUUCAAUUGUAUGAAUGCUUCAAACUAUCUUUAAUAUUUGAUGUUAAGAAAUAUUUCUUUCUGUUGAGUCCUAGACCUUUUGUUUUUAAUUCAAGCAAUCAAACUGCCAAAUUACUGUAAGCAUAGGUCAUUGAUAAUCAGCUGAAUUUUAGAACUGCUUUGGGAAACCCUAUUUUGUAAUGAGACACAUUACUUCUUGCAUUAUUGUAUAUUGUAAGGUUAAUGGGAUAAACUGCUUGAUGCACAGUAGAUUUUAUAAUCUUAAAUAUAGUUGCACUCACUAUUGUAUAAAUAAUUCUAUUAUUAUAAUAAAGUAUUACUUUUGAC